rnacentral:lncRNA from 1 species
UUCUCUGCAGAGAGAACUGCAGGUCAGAACUGUUUGCUCCAGGAACCAAAUUGGAGCCAAGCUUAUCCUUCCAAGAAACCUGAAACAGAGGGUGAGAUUCACCGCCAGAGCUGUUUGAGGGAGGCCUUGCUCCUGGUGACCACAGACAGUGGUUUUUUGUAUGAAGGGCGGAGGGACCUGCAUCACUGUGGAGUCCCAGAUGGCACAAUAAUAGGUGCCAGCGUCACUAAUGCUCAGCAGCCGUACUUUCAGGGUACAGGUAUAAUCCAUGCUCUUGUAAGUAGAAAAGUGAUCGGAGCUGAAUCCUGCAUCCAAGCUGGGUUGAGAUGUGGCCGUGUUACAGUAGAGCAGACGCUGGGGAGCCUUUCCCGGCUGCUGGCGAUACCAGUGGAUGGUACAGCUGGGAUCAUUGCUCUUGAAAGUAGAAAAUUUACUGGAGCUGAAUCCUGCAUCCAGCGUGGAUUGAGAUGUUUCUGUGUUACAGUAGAGCACGUGCUGGGGAGCCUUCCCAGGCUGCUGGAGAUACCAGUGGAUGUAGCUGUUGCUCUUUUGGGAAAACUCACAGAAAAACGAUGCCAGUGUUCCAGUCUGUUUGGUGAUGGAGACCAUCGUCUUGUCCGUAGUGACCUCUGUCUGGCCAGCUGCAAUGGAAGCAGAAAGUAAACCACCGUGGUGAGGUUGGGGAGGAGGAGUUGGAGAAUAAGGAGACGAUUCGAGGUGAACUAACCCAGGAUGAAAGCAGUCGACUUACCGGGGAACAGGGAGGCAAGAAGGAGGGCGACAGAAACCAACAUGUCUCUGCCUGCAGCACUUGGAGCUCUGAGGAGGAUGAAAGGAGUAGAGGAUGGUGGUUCCUACCUGUCCCUGAGCCCAGUGGUCUGAAGUGGGGUCUGGGGCCCUGGGGUUGGAGCAGUGAAUCACCGAGGUCUCUGCUCUUCUGAUUGGCUGGGCUUCUUUCUCUUGACUGGUUCAGGGGGUUGGGGAAGAGAGGUGAUGGGGGUACCAGAGUGCUUUCACAUGAUCACUACAUGCUUGUUGGCCACGAGGGAGAGCCGGUGGGAGCAAGAGAUGAGACGUGUUAGGCAGAGGGAUGGCAGGGACAGGAGAGAGACCUCGAUCACAUACCACUGUAAGCUAUUCGAGCAAUCCUGAGGGAAAUGUCUUGAUCUUGCCUGCACCACACUGAAACGUCAGUCAGUAGUACAUGCUGAAUGCCUACUGUAUUCACAGGACUGUACCAGGUGAGAGUAAAAGGAGACAGAAAGAUAUGGACCAUGAGUUUAUAAUCUGGUGGGGUGAAUCUAAUAUUGGACAGAGAAUCAGUCAGAGAAUAUAAUUUAUGAGGAGAGAAACAGGGACUCAGGUCUUUCUCUUUUCAACCUGUUCCAGGUAGUAAUAAUAACGAUGGCAAUGGUUAAGCGCUUACCACGUGCCAAGCACUGUUCUAAGUGCUUGGGUAGAUACAAGGUAAUGAGGUUAUCCCACGUGGGGUUCACAGUCUUAAUUCUCAUUUUUCUGAUGAGCUAACUGAAGCACAGAGAAGUUAAGUGACUUGCCCAAAGUCACACAGCUAAAUGGCGGAGCCAGGAUUAGAACCCAUGACCUCUGACUCUCAAGCCCAUGCUCUUUCCACAAAGCCACGCUGCUUCUCAGUUGGGCUGUGGGAGUCGUGAUUCUUCCAUUCGUUUCUCUCCAGGGUUCAACUGGGUCUGGGAGAGGUUGGGAGACCCUGAACUCAAGCCCCACUCCUGCCCUACCUUCCCAACUGUGGCUACGAAUGACACCCAGGUUACAUAAUGAUGAUAGUAAUAAUGGUGGAGUUUAGUAAGAGCUUACUACGUGCCACGGACUGCAUGGAACGUCGGGGUGAAUAAAAGACAAUCAGGUGUGACACAAUCCCUGUCCCACAUCCUUCCAUUUUUCUUAUUUGUAAUUUAUUUUAAUUUCUGUCUCCUCUUUCUGGACUUCAAGUUCCUUCAGGGCCAGGAUUGUGUGCCUCUACUCUACUCAACUCUCCCAAACAUGUAGUUCAGCAUUCUGUACACAAUAAGUGUCAAAUAACUACCAGUGAUCGAUUGAUUUAUUGAUGUGGUGAGGGCACAGACCUGUUUUGCUCUAGAAACCAAACUGGAGCCAAGCUUAGCUUGCCAAGGAGCCUGAAACAGAAGGUGAGAUUCGCUGCUGGACCUGUGAGGAGUAGGUCCUAGUGACCAGAGAAAUUGACUUUUUGUAUGAGGGACGGAGGGAACUGUGUCACUGUGUAGGCCCAGCUGGCACAGUAAUAGGUGGCGGUGUCAUUAACGUUCAGCUUGUGUACUUGCAGGGUACAGCUAUGUUCGUUGUUCUUGUAAGUAGAAAAUUUCUCAGAGCUGAAUUCCGCAGCCAGGAUGGGUUCAGAGGAGUGCAGGUCACAGUAGAGCAGGUGCUGGGGAGCCAUUCCAGGCUGCUGGCGAUACCAGUGGAUGUAAGGGAAGCUGUUGUGGUAAAACUCGUAGGGAAAUGAUGCCGAUGUACCAGCCUGUCUGGUGAUGGAGACAAUUGGCUGAUUCAUGGUGAGCGUUGUCUGGCCAGCUGCAGUGGAGACAGAAAGCAAGUCACUGUGGUGAGGAUGGGGGGUGGGGAGUAGGAGAUUAAGGAGUCAGUCCUAAACUGAGAUAACCCAGGACGAAAGCAGCCGACUUACCGGGGAGCAGGGUGGCGAGAAGGAGGGUGACGGACCCCAGCAUGUCUCCGCCUACAGUGCUCGGGGAUCUGGGGAGGAGGCGAGGAGGAGACGAUGGUGGUUCCCACCUGUUCCUGAGCCCCAGAUGUUCUAAAGUGGGGCUGGGGACUCUGGGGCUGGAGUGUUGAGUCACUGAGGUCUCUGCUCCGCUGAUUGGCUGAUCUUUUUAUAACUAGAAUGAGGGGAUGGAGGGGAAAGGUGACUGGGGUAAUGUGGGUGCUAUCACAUGGUAACUAUAUAUUUAUUGGCCUCGGGGGAGGGCUGGAAGGAGAAAGGCCAAGUGCAUCUAUCUCAUUUUUCCCCCCACUAAGUUAAAACUCCUUUCACACCAUCUUUUCUUCUCAUUUUCUCCUUGUUUCCUUGUUUUGGGGACUCAGGUAGCAGAGGGAAAUGGGAAAAAAGAGCUAGAGAGAAAAUUUGGGGGGAAGCACCAUGCUUAGCAGAGUAUUCUGGGCACCAUAGGCAUUCUGCCGAUAUUCUUGAUUGAUGGAUUGAUUGAUUGUGGAUGAAAAGACCAGAACAGAUUUGGUUGGCCACCUGCAAAGCUCUGUCCCACAGUCUGGACUCUACUUCUUUUGAGGCCGGGAUGAGCACGCUUAUCGGUGCCUAGACCCUGAGGCAUGUUGGAAGGGGGCACCAAGUGAGCCUUCGGACUUUGGCCUUCCUGGUAUAAAGCACUAGCUCUGGGUGUUAUUGAUUCCCACCUUGUGCCCAAGCGGGUUCAGUGCAGGCAUAUGAAGCCCUACUCCGGAGAACAGUGCUCUGCUCUGGUUCCAGCAACCGGACUCCUCUCAAGUGAACUUGGGGAGAAGCCAGGGGAGUCACUAAGAUGACCAAUAUAUGGCAGCCAGGACAUCAGAG